rnacentral:tRNA from 1 species
GUGCUUGUGGUGUAGUGGUUAUCACAUCCGCCUAACACGCGGAAGGCCCAGGUUUCGAUCCCUGGCAGGCACA